rnacentral:rRNA from 1 species
GACGAACGCUGGCGGCGUGCCUAAUACAUGCAAGUCGAACGAGAGCGACCGGUGCUUGCACUGGUCAAUCUAGUGGCGAACGGGUGAGUAACACGUGGGUAACCUGCCCAUCAGAGGGGGAUAACAUUCGGAAACGGAUGCUAAAACCACAUAGGUCCUUUAACCGCAUGGUUGAAGGAGGAAAAGAGGCGCAAGCUUCUGCUGAUGGAUGGACCCGCGGUGCAUUAGCUAGUUGGUGAGGUAACGGCUCACCAAGGCCGUGAUGCAUAGCCGACCUGAGAGGGUGAUCGGCCACAUUGGGACUGAGACACGGCCCAAACUCCUACGGGAGGCAGCAGUAGGGAAUCUUCCGCAAUGGACGCAAGUCUGACGGAGCAACGCCGCGUGAGUGAAGAAGGUUUUCGGAUCGUAAAACUCUGUUGUUAGAGAAGAACAAGUGCUAGAGUAACUGUUAGCGCCUUGACGGUAUCUAACCAGAAAGCCACGGCUAACUACGUGCCAGCAGCCGCGGUAAUACGUAGGUGGCAAGCGUUGUCCGGAUUUAUUGGGCGUAAAGCGAGCGCAGGCGGUUCCUUAAGUCUGAUGUGAAAGCCCCCGGCUCAACCGGGGAGGGUCAUUGGAAACUGGGGAACUUGAGUGCAGAAGAGGAGAGUGGAAUUCCAUGUGUAGCGGUGAAAUGCGUAGAUAUAUGGAGGAACACCAGUGGCGAAGGCGACUCUCUGGUCUGUAACUGACGCUGAGGCUCGAAAGCGUGGGUAGCAAACAGG